rnacentral:rRNA from 1 species
CACGUAGGGGGCAAGCGUUUGUCCGGAAUUAUUGGGCGUAAAGAGCUCGUAGGCGGCUCGGUAAGUCAGGUGUCAAAUCCUCAGGCUCAACCUGGGGCUCCACCUGAUACUGCUGUGGCUAGAGUCCGGUAGGGGGAGCGUGGAAUUCCUGGUGUAGCGGUGAAAUGCGCAGAUAUCAGGAGGAACACCAGCGGCGAAGGCGGCGCUCUGGGCCGGAACUGACGCUGAGGAGCGAAAGCGUGGGUAGCAAACAGG